AUUGAACGCUGGCGGCAUGCCUUACACAUGCAAGUCGAGCGGUAACGCGGGGCAACCUGGCGACGAGUGGCGAACGGGUGAGUAAUGUAUCGGAACGUGCCCAGUUGUGGGGGAUAACUGCUCGAAAGAGCAGCUAAUACCGCAUACGACCUGAGGGUGAAAGCGGGGGAUCGCAAGACCUCGCGCAAUUGGAGCGGCCGAUAUCAGAUUAGGUAGUUGGUGGGGUAAAGGCCCACCAAGCCAACGAUCUGUAGCUGGUCUGAGAGGACGACCAGCCACACUGGGACUGAGACGCGGCCCAGACUCCUACGGGAGGCAGCAGUGGGGAAUUUUGGACAAUGGGCGCAAGCCUGAUCCAGCCAUGCCGCGUGCGGGAAGAAGGCCUUCGGGUUGUAAACCGCUUUUGUCAGGGAAGAAACGCUCUGGGUUAAUACCUCGGGGUAAUGACGGUACCUGAAGAAUAAGCACCGGCUAACUACGUGCCAGCAGCCGCAGUAAUAC
rnacentral:rRNA from 1 species